AUCGCUUCUGUGGACUUUUCUCUAAACACACGUGGAAGUGUGGGGCUUGGCCAACCAGUUGGAGCUGGAUCUGUCUCCUUAGUACUUAGCAUUUCUGCCACCUCUUGCCUUCUGUUCUCCCCUGUACCCCAGGGUGAACCUUCAGUGGAAUGUAUUCCUUAACUUUUCUAGGAUUUUUGCUUGGAAUAUUAAGUGGCCAGAACAGAAUCCCAGUUAACUCAUUCCCUGAUUAUGAAACCUAGAUUAUCUUCGGGAUAGAGAUCUUAAUGGUUUUACAACUUUAAAACCUUGUAGUCUGCUAAAGGAUCAAAGUAGUGACUUUUUAAAAGUCCAUUUAAACUUUAAGUGAGUGUUUAAUCUCUCAUCAGAAAGAUAAAGCCAUAAAGGUGGUGCUGGGCUCUAGAGACCGACCUUGAAUUUCACUUGGUGGGCAGGUGAGCUUCUAGUCUCUCCGGGUUUCCCACACUGCUCCACAAACCUUUCAUUGAAGCGCAAUUCCAGAGCUUCACAGCCAUUACCUGCCUUGUCCCUUUCUGAAAGAUGGCUCUGUUUUCAGUGCAGGUUGCCUUUCAGGACUGAGGGGUUGGUUUUGGUGGAUAAGCCAUGGAGGAUGUGAUUGAAAUGACAUAGUCUGGCUUACAAAGUAGUCUUGCUCUUUAAUUGUAACUUUACAGUGUUUUCGCUCACGAGCCGAAACUUCAAGUUCCCUUUUUGCCAGCAGAGUUUGGGUUGCGGUCGCUGGAAAACUUGAUGCUCACUGAAAUCUCUUGGUCUGUGCAUGAGGAAGAGUGGAUCCAGCUUCUUGUCUUGGCUCUCUGUUCUCUGAAUGCCUUGUACUUUUUGCUUUUCUAUCUUACCAUUUUUUUUUGUUUGCUUUCACUGUGAAUAAUAUAUUUUCAUCUUUCCUUGCCUUGCUUUUUUUUGCUGACAGAAAAUGGUGAAUGCACACCGUGGGUGCAGUGAGGGCUUGGUGCCUGCUACGUGGGCAGCUUCCACCUGUGGCUGGCUUAUUGGGCUACUUGGAGCCACAGAAUCAUUGCUGAGCUCCGAUGUGCCAGAGAGUCCCAGGCCAUUUGGGUCACUCUUCUAGCUUGGGAAUCUUAAGUCCAGCUUUUUGGAUGUCAUCCUCCCUGGAGGGGGAGCUCAUGAAAGUCCAAGCUAUUGAAACAAUCCACCCGGUAGAGUGAACAGCUUGAGGUUGAUCCUGGCCUGUGAUAAGAGCCAGGUCAGUAUACUUGUUAGGGACAUGUGAGAGACCUCCCCGCCACACUGCAGCAUUCACAGCACCUUUCCUGGACCUCCUGUCACCUCGCAGGUCAGGGAGUUAUGUCCCCUGGGAACCCAGGGCUUGUCCAGAGCUACCCACAGUUGUCUGCAUUUCCAGGUAGCCCGAUUUUGGGGUUCUAGGAUGUUUCAUCUCCUGGGGGGGUAAUCAAAUCCCUGGAAGAGGACAAGAAAGACUGAGGUAGGAAUAAAGUUCUUUUAAACCUCAAGGGUGCCCAUUGCAGGUUAUCAAAACUCACUUGGUGAACCCUGAAGAGGGAGAUGGGUUUGGUGGAAAUGGUUUCUCCACUUGCCUAUUUGGCCUCUUUUAUGAUGCUUCCAAGGAAUCUUGAAUUCAGCACAGUCAAAACCAAACUCAGGAUCUUCUCUUGCCAAAAGCAGUCCCUUCCCAGGGCCCCUUCUGGGUGUCUGGCACCGAUAUUUGAACACUCAUUGCCAUAAGCCAGAAAUAUAGAAGGCGAUCUGUGUACCCCCUCUCUGUUAGCAUCCAUACCUAGUCCACCUCCAAGUUCUGAAAAAUCUCUCCAGCUCUUCACUUGAAUCUGCCUGCCUUCUGCCACUGCCCUGGUCCAAGUCACCAUCUGCUCAUGACUGAACUUAGAGUAGCCUUCGUCUGGUCCACCUUUAUCUGCUCUGACUCACCUCUAGUGCUUUCUCCAUUCUUCUGCCAUCCUGGUCUUUUCAGAGCCAUAACAUUUGCUUGUCACCCUUAUUAUGAAAAACCAACCACUUGGUGGCCUUCUGUUGCUCUUGGGACAGAUCUUCAUGUGGCCCACAAGGCUCUGUGCAGCCCAGCUUUGUCUCCCUGCCAGCCUUGUCUUACACACCGUGUUGUCCAUCGUAUCUGUAGCCUGGCCAUACCCUAGCAGUUGCCUUCCUAUCCUCAACUACAUCACAUGCUUUCUGGCCUCAGGACCUUUGCACAUGCUGUUUAUGCUACUUGGAGUGUUUUGUUCCUUUCUUCACCCUCAGCCACUCCCUCUGGACUGCACUCCACAGGGCAGAAGCUGAGGAUGUUCAGAAGCCCAAACGGAGUUGGCUGCCCUGUGGGACCCAAGCGAGUUGUAAACAUUCUGGCUUCAGAUGUAAAUCAAAGGCAGAGCCCUGAGUUUUAGGGCAGAGAAUUCCUUCUAUCAGCUCUGCAGUGAGCCCUCACAGGCAGACUCGGGCCCAAAUAUAGCCUAGGUGCUGUUUAUGUAUUUGAAAGUAUUUAAGGCUGGUCCUUCUGUCAUCGGUCCUCCAAAGUCUUUUAUUACAUUUUGGGACUGUGGUAUAUAGAGUUCCAAAUUUCUUUCUCCCCUAGAGCAAAUGGUUUCAGUUUACUGUAAUGCAUAAUAAACAUGUAAACAUAAAUAGGCACACUUCAGACCAGGUUUUCCCUGUAGCUUAGCUUUCUCGGCUAAGGCCCCCUUCCAGGUUUUUGGGUCGGUGUGGUCCCAGGUUAUGCUCAGACUCGCCCUUCAUCACCUCCUCCUUGGCCUGCGAGGCGGUCAUGGCUUCUUCGUGACUCAUCUUCGUGGCACUGGGGAUUGCAGGGAGGCAUGGUGAUGUCCUUUUCCAGUCACAAGGCUGGACUGCCAAACGAACUGCCACAGAUUCCUUUCCAGUGCCCCAAGCUGAAGGAAAGCGUGAUCAGGAAGCAGGCAGCAGACGUAUUUGAACCCAGACAUGCUCGACCCCCUCCCUGAGCAGGUGUGAAAUUAUGUAUGCAGCUCCAUAGCUCCACUGAGGAUUCUGAAGUGAUCCUCUGCACGACACUUCCCGGAAAUAAGUGGAAAGCUUACUGCAUGACUGAAAAGUACAUAUCAGUCCUGCACCCCUAGGAUUGCCCUGGACUCUUGUCUAAACUGUUUGUUGUUGAUACCAGCCUCAGAAGCUGGAUGCCUUUAAGCCAUGGCUAGUGUGUUUAACCGAUCCCUUUUAUGAAGAUCUUGUAAGCGCGUGGUAAUAGCCCACUAUGCUUUUUAACUGAACCAGCAGAGCAAACAUAGUUAAUGGAGAGACAUUUUUGUCAUUCCUUGGCCUCUGUUUAUUUGCAAAAACGAGUAAAGUGUUACCUGCCUGCAAGUGGUUCAGUGCGUGCCGGGGUGUCAGGCUGCAGGUAUGUGAGCUUGUUCAAGGCUUGUCUUGCCCACGCAGCAGUUUGAGAGCCCUAGAGGGCGAACGCUGGGGCCCUGUUGGAAGCGGUGUGUGGAUGAAGCCACCCAGGAGUCCCUUCUCUCCUGGUCACUUAUAGGGCUUGCAUCACUUUUUAAAGGAGCACUGGCCCGAGGCCUAGAAAAACAGCCAUGUGGGUGGGUAAGAAUCACAAAGACAUUGCAAGUCAGUCCUAACUGUCUCUCCAAGAUGGUCUUGAAUUUGACAAGGUGAUGAAGAGUUGGUGCUGGCAGGUUUAAGAAAACAAACACAAAACCAGGUUGGGGUGCUGAUUUAGUGCCUUGCUGCCUUUUCAGAUCCCUCCCCUGAACUGCUGGCACCUGAUGUUUGAGCUAUUUUUGUACCUGUCUCUUCUCAAACUAGAUGAUAAGUGGCCUCAGGGCAGGGACUACAUACUCCUGAGAGCUGCUUGAGCUCGAGGUGUUUAUUAUCCUCAGUAAGCAUUUUUUUUCAGGAGCAUGACUUGGCUCAAAAAAACAAAAAGAAAAAAGAAACCCUCCCCUCAAUUUACCUGUGUCUAAACUUUGGUGAAUUAUUCUCCCAUCUGCCUUCUGGGCAGAGGAGAAAGGUGGAAUGCAUCAAGUUCAAGGUCUUGGUAUUUAAGAGCUGGCUUUAAAGGUUGCCAUGUUAACAAUUGUAAAAAAAAAAAAAAAAAAAAAAAAAAAA
rnacentral:lncRNA from 1 species